GAUGAACGCUGGCGGCGUGCCUAACACAUGCAAGUCGAGCGAUUCUCUUCGGAGAAGAGCGGCGGACGGGUGAGUAACGCGUGGGUAACCUGCCCUGUACACACGGAUAACAUACCGAAAGGUAUGCUAAUACGGGAUGAUAUGCUUUAGUCGCAUGGCUGAAGUAUCAAAGCUCCGGCGGUACAGGAUGGACCCGCGUCUGAUUAGCUAGUUGGUAAGGUAACGGCUUACCAAGGCGACGAUCAGUAGCCGACCUGAGAGGGUGAUCGGCCACAUUGGAACUGAGACACGGUCCAAACUCCUACGGGAGGCAGCAGUGGGGAAUAUUGCACAAUGGGCGAAAGCCUGAUGCAGCAACGCCGCGUGAGCGAUGAAGGCCUUCGGGUCGUAAAGCUCUGUCCUCAAGGAAGAUAAUGACGGUACCUGGAGAAUAAGCCCCGGCAAACUUCGUGCCAGCCGCCGCAGUAA
rnacentral:rRNA from 1 species